UAUUUGACUUUGCAGGCGCCUUCGCAGAUGCCUUUUUGGUAGUCUUUUUAGAAGCUGGAGAUUCACUCACAGGUUCUGCCCCCACUGCAGCAAAGAACAAUUUGCAACUAUAGUAAGAAAGAUGAUACAUCUCGAAGUCUGUAAGACAUGGCAAAAGUGUCUCAAGCAAAAUUCUCUAUGUGUAUCCUCUAUGUCCAAUGAUAUCAACAUCUAUGGCAUUCAUCUCGAGGACAUGUGGGCUUUGCAGACCUAUAUUCACCCCAAUACAACAUUACUAGCCUCACAACCGUUCUAUAAAACUUGACUGUAGCUUGUUAGAUGACUUCUAUCACAGCACAGUCCUUUAAUUUAUCCUAAUUGUUAUAUUGCAUCUAUCACUAUAUAUUCCUAGAAGCCUAAAUGUACAUAUUUGAUGUCUGUACUAGGCACCACAAAAACUAAUCUAGUUUCACUUCACUUUCACCUAA